GACUUGAGUUUUUAAGGGAAUUUUGACAAAUUCUAUUUCUGCAGCACUUACUGUAGGACUUCCUAAUAACACAGAUUUCAUUCUGGCCCAUGAUGUCACCCACAGCAGCUCAUGAUGUCACACAGAGAGCUGCGCGCAGGCCGCCUCAUGGUGCUGCCCUGUGGGCUGCGGGCUUUGUCCCCAGCCAGCCACCAGCAGGAGUUCGCCCACCAGACUUGAGUUUUUAAAGGGAAUUUUGGCAAAUUCUAUUUCUGCAGCACUUACUAUAGGACUUGCUAAUAACACCAAUCUCAUUCACUAGCCGGAAUCCAUUUCUUAGCAAAUAACAACUAGCAACAGAUUGCUUACGCUUCUUGCCGUCAUCAAGAGAAGUGUGUUUGCUUUCAUGUUUUAACCUGAACACAGGUUAUACUGUGUAUUAAACAUUAAAAAUUUGCACUGCACUGGCGAGAGCCACACAAAGAAUCGUGAAUGGUUUGCCCUGGAUGGAGCUUUUAAGGAACAUCUAAUCCAAACCCUCCUGCUGUGGACAGGGACAUCUGGAAACUAACUUUUUCACCCCCAGACUUUAUUCCAUCUCCACCACAUCCUAAUUGCCCUACACAGGAUCUCCCCCAGGAAUUCAGAAGGCUCCUUCCUGGCCUGCCUAAUAGUCACAGAAAACCUUUCUAUGGUUUUUUUCCCAAUAAAAAUGUGCUUCCACUUUUGUAUCAUUGACUUCUUUUUUCAAAGACCAGCCUUACAUUUUUUUAACAAUGCAAAAUAUGUCAGGAACAAAUGCAAGUCUUUUUGAACACAAGUUUUUGGCACACAAAACUAUGUGGCUUUUGGAGAGCAGCUUUUGUCUUCCACAUUACCAGGUGCUUCCUAUUCUGUUGGACAAAACUACAAGGAAAUAACAUGCAACUCCACAAACCCUCAGGAAAUCUUUGGCUUUCUUUCACAGACUUUAACCUGAGGUUCAAAUCCAAGUUGCGAGUUGCUUUGUUGCCUUUUUUUUUGGUUUUAUUUCAAGCCUUUGUUAUUCUUGACAGCACUGAACUGACCCAAGGAGAUUCCUCAAAGUACUUUUUUCUUCUCAUAUGGCAAUAGCUACAUUUGAGCAGAGUGCUUGUCAAGGACAGAGGCACUGCAGGAAUACAGAAGAGAGUCACUCAGCAUGUCUGGGCAAUCUUCGGGAGCAGAGAUCCACUGAUUCCAUGUUGAUUUCCAGCUAUAAAAGCACCAAGCUGAAAAGCACCAAUAACACACAAGUGUGUGGUAGAACUCAGCAGGGUUAGAGGAUUCAAGAAAGUGGCUGAACUACAGAAAAGGAGCACAGAGAUAAAAUUUGAGAUAAUUAUAUGAGAAGUUAGAUCAGUAAAUUUCUUUUCUUUCUACACAUUUCCCAAAGGUAAGUCAUUCAAGUCACCUUCCCUCCUCUUUCAUUCUAUGGGGAAUCACAGAAGUGAUCCUUAUGCCUUCAGAGCAUUUUGUGGCUGCAGAUGGGGCUGAGCAAGGAGUUGGUAUCAAACUGAGCUCUUCUCCAUGAAAAUAAAUAAAUUAGUAAACCCUUUAUUUCUUACUUUGACACUAUGCAGCUAGUAAAACCAGCUUGGGACCUAAAAUCACCCUUGGGACUCAAAAAUUUUUAUCGUACUGAAAAUGGAUCUGCUUGAAAAUUCACAAAUGCAUCAUUUUGUGUACUAUUAACAUACUCCUGCUACAGUCCCUCUUCCCACAUACAUUCUGCUAGCCCCACCACACACACCUGUUGCACACUUAUGGCAAACUGAUUGCAAUACCUCAGAUUUUUCCUAGCACUUCAUCCCCACUGCCAACUUUUAAUCAGAUUUGUCCCACCUACAGCAGAAGAUACUUCAGUGUGACCCAGAACUAACUGGUAGCUGCCACCAGCCAGUAUAAGAAGUGUCCAGUUUCUGCUGUAAUUCCCACUCAAGCUGCCAUUCGACUCUUUCUCAGCUCAAGAAUUUUAUUUGCAAUAUUAACUUUGCACAUCAACAACUUUCCAGCUGACAGUAAAAGCUAAUCAUACCUUUGGGACUUCAGACACAGAAACUGACCCCAAAUCAAAAACUCCUCUCACAAGACCUCUGCCUUAUUCAGAAAUUUGAGUCAGUCUCAAAAGCCUUGCAAAGACACAUGGUAAAUCAAUCUUUUCAUCUACUUUAUCUUUCAAGUACAGGUUCUACAGCUAUACUCUGAUUUUGUUGUUAAGCUCUUAGGUCCUUGCACUCAUACUGCUCCCUUCCAGCUUUAAAGAGCCAUCAGUUCCUGCACACAUCAUAAAUUAUAUCAUGAGAAGGCAUCUAAUGGUUUGGAACUAAUAGGAGUUACAAUAAUGUGUGGAGAAUUCCUCAAAGGUUCGACAGAAACUAUGUUUAAUAGUCUAAUGUGUUCUGAAACUGUUCUGUGAUCCCCAAAAGCAUGACCUUGCUCUCAUGUUAAUAAGCAAUUACACUAUUUAGCCAUUAAUUUUCAACAGUUUAAGCUACAAGAGUAAUUUUCUCUCCCUUUUCUAAGGUCCCACAGAAGCUGAUGCAGUAACAGUGAAACUGGCCAAGCCAAACCCAAGUCUUACAAGGCUUUUUGAAAACAGUAUGGGCAUCA